rnacentral:lncRNA from 1 species
GGCAAGGUCAGACCGCGUGAAGGACUUAGCUUGGAGGGAUUUUACUUUGAUGUUUUCCUGAGAGAAUACUUUGCACAUGCUCACCUUGUGAUCACAGAGAUAUUGCUUUCGUGUGCUACAGUUGGUCUUCUCCUCACAUGGCCAGCCAAGUGUAACUUGUUGAGAAGUUCCUGGUUCUGACUGGUUUCCAUUACCUUCUGAUUCAUGUACAUUUCAGUGGAAGGGUGACACAUUCACAGAAAAAGGAAAUUUCCCAGAACACAGCACGGACAUGGAAUGCAGGGUCUCUUCUUCACUGAGGAGCAGUGCUGUUACAAAGAAAAGUGACCACUCCCCUCAGAGGCUGCCCUGCUCGCUCACAAACAGCCCGGGAGUUGCCCGCAUUCCUGUGACCAGCUGGAGAGGUGCUGCUCCUCGGGGGUCCCAGGUGAGAAAGCUCUCUUUGAAGAGCUGGAAAGUGGGCGUGAAGUCGAGGUUCAUGUCGCUCUUCUCAGAGUGUGCUUACUGAGUCUGAAACUGGGGCAGGGCAUCCGGCCUCUUCUAGGAAAAGGAUUUGAACAUUUUCAUGGGAGGAAACACACAUCUUCUUGACAGAGCCCAGCUGCUCUGGAGGGGAGGAGGAGGGCGGCAGGGAUCGGGCUGAGGAAGACAAUGGGCGGGGGCAGGAAGCGAUUGUUUGGGGACCUGUUAAUGCCCAUUCAAGAGGACCUCAGCAUCCUGUGGGUUAGAGAAAAAAGAGACAUGGGCUGAGGAAGGUAGAUGUUUCUGGAUGUUGCCUGGUGUGGGUGGUGAGGAAAAGCCACCUGCUUAGGGGAGUCAGAAAGGAGUCUGGCAGGCUCAGAUUCACAGCCCAGACCCCUUCUCAUAGGGCACCCAGGCCUUAGAAGACCCUGGAGUCUUCGAGGGGGUGAGAGGUAAACAGUUUUCCCAAACCCAAACCCAGGAAGGAGGCACCAGCUCGGUAGCUUGCUUUGCUCCCUGAUAACUUUGUUCUCCUCUCCGGACCAAGCAAGCCUUUCUGAAACCACUUGGUCAUCUACAGCUCAAACUGAGAGACUGAGGAGGGUGAGCCUUCUGUGAGCUGACCUGGAAGUGAAAAGCUUAAGACCCAAGGAGUUUUACCUGGGGUUCAAGAAGAAUUCUCUUUUAUUUAUUUAUUAUUAUUUUUUUUAAUUUUAAUUUUUUUUCAUUUGUUUUUAUUAGUUGGAGGCGAAUUCUCUUUUAUUUAAGAGGGCUUCCCUGGUGGCUCAGAAAGUAAAGAAUCCACCUGCAAUGCAGGAGACUCAGGUUCAAUCCCUGGGUUGGGAAGAUCCCCUGGAGAAGGGAAAGGCUACCCACUCCAGUAUUCUUGCCAGGAGAAUUCCAUAGACAAAGCCUGGCAGCCUACAGCCCAUGGGCUCUCAAAGAGUCGGACACGACUAAGCGACUCACACACACACACACACACACACACUCUCUCUCUCUCUUUCUAAGACAAAAAC